CACUCCCUGUCCAAAUGCUCUUUGUAAAUUGAAGACAAUCUCUCUCUCUCUCUCUCUCUCUAUACCUCCAUUAGAGCCCAUCUCGUGUGGGAUACUCAACCCCAGUCCCUAUUCGUUUCUUCUUCCUCUCUUGCUCUGAUUCAGUCAAUACUCUUGCAUACUCUUGAUUCAGUCAAUUCCCUAUCAAAGCCCAACCCUUGCCAAAAACUCAACCCCGAACCCCCUAUUACUCUCUUCAUUUUCUCUUUUCCUUCCACCCUCUUUCUGCCAUCUCAAUCUUCAUCAACAGUGGCAGGCCAAAUUCCCUAUUCCACCACAAUUGACACAACCUUUUCAGCCAUAGGAGAGAUUUCGAAAAGUGCCAUUACAAAAGGGGAGAUUUCGUUGGACCACCACAGUCUCUAGAGAGAUCGAUACUCCGUCGUUGUCAAUAUUCAAAGAGAUCCCAAACAGGCACAUUAUGAGCUUGAAUGCCAAUUCUGAUAGAGUUCUCUUCCAUUAUAAUGGACAUGGUGUACCAAAACCAACAGUUAAUGGUGAAAUUUAGCUAUUCAAUAAGUCUCACACUCAAAUUUUAGUUGGUUUUGCUGAAAGGAAAGCAUUAGUUACAAUAAUUGAGAAGACCCAUGGCGGUAAUGGACCCAUGGUAAUCAGGUCCCCGAUGGAUACAUUGUUAAGCUUACUCAUUUUCGUUGUUAUUUUUUUUCAUUUGACAAUGUCAUUGUGUAUUAAAAAGAGAAACCAUUGUGUGAUAGUGUAUGUUUGCAGACAAGUGGAGUGAGAUCAACCGACAACGCUAAGCUAGGAUAAGUUCUAUAGUAAUUUCUAAUUUUGCUUCUUUUUUUUUCUUUUUUUCUUUUUUCUUUUUCAACUCUCCAUUUCCAACCAUACGCACUAUCAAUCUAAUUUGUCAUUACAUACAUAAAUGAGGGAUUUUAAUCUCUAAUUUGAUCAUUCUCUUCCA